UAAAUCAACCAUGCAACAACUGAAAAUGCUCGUUGCCUAUAUGGAAGAAAAUCCAGAAUUUUCUAGGGGAACACCAGUAUUUGGAUCAAAGAAACAAACUGUUGAGGAGACAAACUGUUGAGGCAAAAUUUAACCCUAAAAUUGAAUUCCAUUGGACCACGUGCUAUACAUGAAUGGAAAAAAGUUCAUUCGACUGUUAUCUGUAGUCUAGACUUGAGCUGGCUUAAAGUCCCGAACAAAGAAAAAGAUUGCAAGCAAUUCAAAGAGUCUAAAAGAAACCGGUGGGGGACUUUACAGAUUUACAGCCUUAACUGAACUGGAAGAUAUAAUUAAAUGUUAUAUUUAAAGCA